rnacentral:rRNA from 1 species
UGAGGAAUAUUGGUCAAUGGGCGAGAGCCUGAACCAGCCAAGUAGCGUGCAGGAAGACGGCCCUAUGGGUUGUAAACUGCUUUUAUAAGGGAAUAAAGUGGGUCACGUGUGACUUUUUGCAUGUACCUUAUGAAUAAGGACCGGCUAAUUCCGUGCCAGCAGCCGCGGUAAUACGGAAGGUCCGGGCGUUAUCCGGAUUUAUUGGGUUUAAAGGGAGCGUAGGCCGGAGAUUAAGCGUGUUGUGAAAUGUAGAGGCUCAACCUCUGCACUGCAGCGCGAACU